UUGGAGGGCAAGUCUGGUGCCAGCAGCCGCGGUAAUUCCAGCUCCAAUAGCGUAUAUUAAAGUUGUUGCAGUUAAAAAGCUCGUAGUUGAUUUCGGGAUCAAUAUGUUGGUCGUGCCUUGGUACGUACUAAUUUAUUGGUUUCUUCCUUCUGACGAACCAUGAUGUCAUUAAUUUGGUGUCUUGGGGAAUCAGGACUGUUACUUUGAAAAAAUUAGAGUGUUUAAAGCAGGCUCACGCUUGAAUACAUUAGCAUGGAAUAAUGAAAUAGGACGUUUGAUUCUAUUUUGUUGGUUUCUAGGAUCGACGUAAUGAUUAAUAGGGAUAGUUGGGGGCAUUAGUAUUCAAUUGUCAGAGGUGAAAUUCUUGGAUUUAUUGAAGACUAACUACUGCGAAAGCAUUUGCCAAGGAUGUUUUCAUUAAUCAAGAACGAAAGUUAGGGGAUCGAAGACGAUCAGAUACCGUCGUAGUCUUAACCAUAAACUAUGCCGACUAGGGAUCGGAUGAUGUUAAUUUUUUAAUGACUCAUUCGGCGCCUUACGGGAAAC
rnacentral:rRNA from 1 species